AUUGAACGCUGGCGGCAGGCCUAACACAUGCAAGUCGGGCGGGCGGCGGAGGGGUGGGUAGUGUAUUGAGAUCUGCCUGAUGUAGGGGUAUAACUGCUGGAACCGGUAGCUACAGCCGCUUACCAUCAGAUGAACCCAUAUUGGAUUAGCUUGUCGGUAAGGUAACGGCUUACCUAGGCGACGAUGCCUAGCUGGUCUGAGAGGAGGAUCAGCCACACUGGGACUGAGACACGGCCCAGACUCCUACGGGAGGCAGCAGUGGGGAAUAUUGCACAAUGGGCGCAAGCCUGAUGCAGCAAUGCCGCGUGGAUGAAGAAGGCCUUCGGGUUGUAAAGUACUGUCAGUAGGGAGGCGGUACCGAAAGAAGAAGCACCGGCUAACUACGUGCCAGCAGCCGCGGUAAUUC
rnacentral:rRNA from 1 species